GGCAGGAGCGGCGGUCCCCGCGGGGCGCGGCGACAGGACGGGCAGCCUCCUCCAGCCUCCCUGCUCGCUCUCUCAUCACUUCUGUUUCUCCCAGCCACAGCCCUCACACUUUUCUUUCUCGAUCCCCCUCUUCCUGCCCCCCCCCCCACUCCCACCUUCUCCUCCUCCUCCUCCUCGCCGCUCUCUCCCGAGCACUGAUUUGUUUCAAUAAAUCGAGCCCAAAUCCCCCGGUGGCAGCCGUCUCCGUCUCCUCCUCCUCCUUCCCCUCCCGCUCCCCUCUCCGCCUGGCUCAGCUUGAUGCUGCUCAAGUUGUGAUGCAGUCCAAAAAACCGAUCCCCUUCUCCUCAAUCCGAGGCAAAGGCGUGUUUUCCCAGCUGCCUUCGCCUCCGCUUGCAAGCCCCCCACUCAGCCCACCGGCGCCGCUAACCCCAUCACUGCCCCGGCUCCAGCCGCCGCCUCCGCCCGGCUCCUGAAAUAGCCCCGCGGCUGCCGGGGCCGCUCCGACUCGGCGCUGCCCGCCCGUGCGCAGGAUCCGCCCCCUCUGUCAACCAGCCAGGCUGCUCUCCUCCCGCCCGGCAAACUACUUUCCUCGCACGCUUUAUUAUAGGAACGCCUCUGCCAGCCUCUUCCUAUCAGAAAGCCUCACUUAGGGAGAAAUUUUGAUCUCCCAGCCAUGAACUAUAUGGUGUUGCCCGUUUUGGUUGGGUUUCUUUUUUCCCCGAAGCUAAGACUUCAUAAAAACCCUCUCUCCAGGGACUGGCAGCAACAAAACAACAGCCACCGCAUUAUCUCUCUGCUCAAGGCAGAUACAGGUUCACCUAGAGGCAGAGCCGAGUAUCCGAGGAUAUCAGCAAGUUCCUGGCUCUGGCUGUACUACAAAAGACAGAUCCGUCCUUUUGGAACAGGGAGAUAUGAAACUGCAGCCCUUACAUUUGCAAAGCACCCGAAGAGUAAAUGUAAGGGAGGAGAGGCUCAGGCGUGGGAAAAGAGGCACAGCCUUAAUGGAAAGAGCAGAGCAGCACCAGCCGGGAUGUUUCCGCUUCUUCUGCGGACCUUGGAGUAGCCUCGGUGGCUGCCUUAUCAGACGAAAGUGAUGUCAUGUUAUAUCGCUGUGCAUCACCGACCACGAGCUCCUGCAGGCAAAGAGGACUAAAACUCAUCCUGACUUCUGAGGAGGUGCCCUUGACAAAUAGAGACUCGGAAUAAUGAAAGGCCCAUGACAAGGCAGGGUGACCUCAGAGUGGAAAGGAGACUGGAGAGUAGAUACUUCUGUAAACUCUGUGUACCUUUGUGUCCUGUGCAUCUUCCUCUCACUGAAACACAGUAAUGUUCACUGUCCUGGGCAGCACCAGUUCAACUAGGCACCUUAAUAAAGUGCUUUAUUUGCAUUAAUGCUCAAACAAAAUCCAGCUGUGGCCCUGAAAACGUGCUCAACAGAACGCGUUAGAGGGAGACGAAUGAUCAGUCACAUCAGGAUCCCUUUAUGCUAUGCUGGCAGUAUAAGGCAUUUAAUAACAAAGAAAUGCAGCCCCUGUAGCCCUCCCUGGGCAUGUGCCUGGCUGGGUGCAGAUGGUAGAUUUGUGUGGUAUGAGGCCAGCUGUAAGAUUUUGGCUGUGUUCCUCUGUCCUCUGCUGUCGUGCAAUGCCAUUUGGAGAUCCCUACGAGAAUGGCGUGAAUGAGGAUAAGACCCUAAUAUGAAAGCUCAGUACAUACCACAGAAAUCUCCAUUGGGCUAGGCACAUGCCCAGUAAGAAUUACUGGUAUCAUAUUACUUAUUUAUUUAUAUCGAAACAUUUUUUCCUUUACUUAAAACUCGUUAUUUGUUCUUACAGGAACACACAGUCACAGACUACCAAGACCCCCCUAAUUCUCCUCUCUCUUUCUUUUAAUUUGUUUGUAAUGUCCAAUUGUUUUCUCUUAUCGUAAAUUAGUCAUGCACUCCCUCCUGGUGGAAUGGUUUCUUACAUGCUUGUGUAGCUCUUAACAUAAUAGGACGUCUGGGUGUUGGUUGAAUAAUACAAAUAAUCAGACACAACACUUUUACAACACAUUUAUUUUGGCAAUGCUGAUAUCCUUUGUCUGAUUAAUGCUGACAUUUGAUAACUGAGCUGUAUUUGCACAAAUAAUUAUGAAAAGUAGAUGCUAAGCCUGACUACUUAGAUUAGCUAUCACACAUCUUACAAAGCACAAGACAGUUUUUGGCAGUGUAGGACUGCCUAAAUUCUUUUCUAGGGCUGAGGCACAAGAGAGUUUACAAUUACUUAGAAAAGAUGUGAAGAGGCUCAAUCUAAAUGUAAAUUUGUCCCUCACCAGCCCAUCUUACAGUAGCCUAAGCCUAAGCUGUUAUUUUCUCCUAUUUCAAAUCCCUAUUUGAGAUCUUCAAUGACACCAUAAGAGCAGCCAACUUAUAAUGGCCAGGCUCAGAGUUAUAAGGGAGGACUGAUGUUUACAGAGCUAAAUCAAAAUACUAAAUGAAGACACAAAUGCAUCCAUACAGGCCAUAUGUAUGGAUAACCUAGCAUAAGUCUGGUUGAGUCUAUCAUUAUUCCCCCUUUAUAUGUUGCAGAUCACGAGCUGUAAUUUCUUUGUGGACACAUUGUGCUCUGUGAUUAUACCAUCCCAGAGGAAUCCUAAUCAGGGCCAGCAGGUGUUACAGUGACACGUUAACAACAGCAAUGAGGCAUAGCUUCCACAGAAAAAUGUGUGACAUUUUCAAGUUCACAAAUCCUGUUUUGUUUUCUUCUUUUUUGCAAGUUCUCCCUCAACCGCUCUCUCUCCCUGAGGGAUUCAAAGCCCCAAAGACCUUUUUUAAGCUUUAUUCUUGGUCCCAGGAGUUAUAUCUAGAUUUUCACUUCUUGCUCUUUAUUUGUACAAAACCUGAUUAUUAAAGGUCUCAGUUCUUCACCGGAGCUUCUGUCCCACAGUAAUGAUAUCACUAAUUGCCGUAACUCAAUCAUGGAAUGGAAAUAAUUGCAUGACUAGCUCCUGUAAGGGACUUUAGCAGUAGAAGAAGAGCAUAGGGAGAUGUUAGGCACAUUCAUCCAAAACUGUGAUCCCCCAAAAUCCAUCAGCCAGCCCUACAGGCUCCUAACUCUGUUGGUAAUCUUAAUUUUGGCCAUAAAGCUCCAUGGGUGACCAGAGCUUUUUCUCUGUAUUUGUCCAUGCCUGCUCAUUCAGAGCCAGAAGUGGAGCCCCUGGGCAUUGUGCAGUUAUCACCAACGUUUCUGUAGGGAUUUUUGGGGUCCACACAAAACACAGAGGCAAUCAGCUUUGAUGAGAGAACAGCAGUACCUCACCUCUUGCAGAGGUGGCCAUGUGACAGGGCAGCAAGUGAGAAGCCUGACUUCGAAGCCUUCCUCAGACUGCAGGGAUUAAAGACCAAACCCUUAAAUACCAAGGGGCUGGUGGGGCUUGCUGACUGCUAUCAGUAAUUCCUGCUAGUGCUGAGCCUUUGGGUGUGCGUGUGAGAAACCUCCUGGGAUCAGGCUCAGGUUGGGAAGCAAACGUGUCUCUUGCACCCUUGCUGGGGAGAGAGCUUGCGCCUCCCUCUGCAAGCAGCAGGUGGUUCCCACAGGUGAAGCCAUCCCUCCUCUUCCCAAACAUGGAGCUACCUCUUCUCCCAGUUCCUCCAGCUCUGAGUUAGUGCUACCCAGGCUGAAAUCUACAACCCAGCUACAGGUGGGUGUUCCCAAGUGUGCACUGUUCCUCUUUCAAUAUCCAAGGAAACGUCAAAGAGACAGAAUGUAAAGUCUUUUAUGUUCAGCACCACAAAGGCAGAGUUUUUCCAGUCUGAUGCCUGCUUGAGAGUCACAAAAGUUCAUGCUGAGGACUGACUUGGUCUGUUACCCAUGGUUCCAUCUCUGCAGAGUACAGCCAGCUAUCAUUUCCAGUGGGCAAAUAACCUCCAAAAUUAUGUAUCAUGAUAUUGUACCAAGGAGCAUAUACCCUGCUGUUAGAGUUAUUACCUCUUUUAGAACUAAACAAAGAAAACGUGGUUUCCAAUAGUAAUACAUUUAUACUUUUUCUCCUCACAAACCACCUGUGAUGUCAAUAAACACCCACAUGCACACUUCAAAAUGUAUCAUCUGCUUCCCACUGUAGGCACAAGUACUUAGGAUCUGCUAUUGUCCAUAGCACACCACUGUGUGCCACUCAUUUUCCAGCUCCCUAACUUUCAAAGGAUCAUUUAUGUUUGACAACAUGCAACAGGGAGAGACAAAAUAAGUCAAAAACCACUGAGACUCAAAGGCUGUCUCUAACCAUAGGCACCAGAAAAGGAAUAGCUUGUUUUGGGUCUUCCAUCAUAGACUGUGUGGAGCUGGCAUAGAAAGGUAGUGUUAAUUUAUCAGGUAUUCAAUGGGGAAAAAGAGAGAUGGGUCAUACACUUGUUACUUACUGAAGAUGGAUGCUUUUCACAGUUUCUGGUUAUUGAAAUUGAUAUGCAUUACUGGAUACACUGUUUGUAAGAUAGUUUGAUAGAAUCUCAACACCAGAAAUAUUUCCCAGAAUUAUGAGACAUUUUAAAACCAAGGAGCCAGACUAAUAAGAUGCCUGUUGGUUGGCAGGGUGACCAGUCUGGCUAUCCUGCAAGGAAAGUGUCACCUUUCACUGAGCAAAACAUCAGUCUUAGAAUAUUACAAAUUAUCCAUUUCUAAUGGUACAGUUGGCUGAAGAAAGCUACAGAAAAUAUCAUAUUCUGCACACACACAUACCUCUGAUAAGUAACCAAUACCCCAAUAUAGCAAACAUUUAGUAGGAUUAACUUUCUAGAUAUAUCUCUGCCGAAUUUAGCUAUUAGAGUCAGUAUUUUUCCACAGUGCUUCAUUCCCACUUGUAUUAUUUCCUCCUAUCCUUAGCACCUCUACAACAAUUCUUUUCUGACCAUGACUAAGGAGGCGGUUCCCAGCCGAAACUAACCCCCACAUUUUCAUUCAUUCGCACUUCAAUUCCUCCUAAGAUGCAUGGGCAGACAUGCUGCAUUUUUUGCUUUACCUCUUUUCAGUAAUUUCUAUAAAUCUACCUCCAUUUUAUCCUAAACCUUUAGGACCUGUGGCUUUAGUCCCAGUUCCCUUCAAAGCUGUAGCCAUUUUUGAUUUAAGUCUGUUUUUUGAGACAGCUGCUCCUUAUUUUUUUUCCCGCCUCUGACAAUCCCAAACAAUUGCUUCUUACAAAUACUCUGACUGUCAUGGUUUAGGACUUCCUUUGUCCUCAGUGCAUCUGCUGUUCUGUUAGGGCUCAGAAAAGCUGAUUGCUGAAGUCUGCUUCACAAUUCCUGUGUUUCUACAUGGAAUUUCCUCUCCAGCUCUCCUAUCCACAUAUGGGGCAUGUCAUUGCAUUCCCAUGUGACAUGCAAGCUCUCGAUUAUGCAGCACCUUUGAGGCAAGCACACAGCUACCUCCUGCAGUUUAGACUCAGCUGAGAAGGCUCCACGAUGAGUUGAGGAAUCAGGGAUUUUUAAGGAGCAUGCAAACCGUGUUUAAGGACCAAAAUUAAAGGCUCAGAAGAAGCAGAGCCAAUGAGCAGGAAUGCAUUAUCCUGACAUAAAGAGAAGUAUAAGCAAGUAGAGACUGAUUUCCAUUCACUGGAGGAAUGUUUGGAAGAUGGACCAUUGAUUGUGGGAAACGUGGAAGAAUACAAUACCUACAAUCUCAACACUAUAACUCACCAAGAAUGGUAUUAGGGGUAUGCUCAGGGUUCUGUGCUCUUUCAGUAUAUAUGUAAUUAAUUUUUGAAUUUAAAUAAAUAUGCUAGCACCUCAUUUACAGAAGCCAAAGAAGUAGCUUUGCUUGCUUUCUUGUCUUGUAGGGUAUUACAGUUUGUUUCUUAUCAGUAGCAGAAUGGAGAGUCCAGGUGUUUCCCUGCACCUGUAACAGAUGGUUCAACAAUAAAGAUGUUCACUAAACCAGGGACCUAAUAUUCUCUGAAAAAUAUCCUCAGAUCAGCAGACCCUUGUAGCAUAUCCAAGAGGUGUCAUUAGGACUGAAUUAUUAGAAUUUCAGAAAAGGCUCAAAAAUUUGACAUGCUGUAUCUUUAAAACACUUUGGGGGUUUUCUCUUUUGAGGCUAGAUUAAAGCAGUUCUUUAUAUAAUUUAGUAUCAGAAAUGCUGGUGUUUUAUAAAGAAUAAGAUACAAUCUGAUAACUAAUUGUUUUACUGCAUUUCAGGUUGUAGAGUUGAGCCCAGAAUUCUGUUGAAGUGUCUUGCCAGGGCAGGAAAAACAAGGAAGAAGAAAAGCUUUCUAGUUAUCUUAUUUUGUAAAAAAGCUUGGAGUCUGUUCUCCAGUUUCUGACGGAAUAAAUAUCUCUUUGUCAACUUCUUGCCUGGCAAUGGAAUUAAAGCUCUGCUAAUCUUUAUUUAAAAUUGUGAGGUGACAGCAUGGUGCUAGCACUGACCAACCUUGUGAUGUUAAAUGUAUUUAAAUGCCUCACCUGUACAAUAAUUAGUCCCAUACUCAUAUGAAGCUCUUUUUACAUUAAAGACAAGAUAAUCCAAA